rnacentral:rRNA from 1 species
UACAGAGGGUGCGAGCGUUAAUCGGAAUUACUGGGCGUAAAGCGCACGUAGUCGGCUUUGCAAGUCGGGUGUGAAAUCCCCGGGCUCAACCUGGGAACUGCAUCCGAGACUGCAUUGCUAGAGUAUGGGAGAGGGAAGCGGAAUUUCUGGUGUAGCAGUGAAAUGCGUAGAUAUCAGAAGGAACAUCAGUGGCGAAGGCGGCUUCCUGGACCAAUAACUGACA